rnacentral:rRNA from 1 species
GACGAACCGUGCUAACGUUGUUCGGAAUCACUGGGCUUAAAGGACGCGUAGGCGGCCCACCAAGUCAGGGGUGAAAUCUUUCGGCUUAACCGGAAAAGUGCCUUUGAUACUGGUGGGCUCGAGCGAGGUAGGGGCAGAUGGAACUUCGGGUGGAGCGGUGAAAUGUGUAGAUAUCCGAAGGAACGCCGGUGGCGAAAGCGAUCUGCUGGACCUCUUCUGACGCUGAGGCGCGAAAGCCAGGGGAGCAAACGCG